rnacentral:lncRNA from 1 species
GGGGUCAUGGCCUUGAGCUUCUGGCUUUGGGGUCGUGGUUUGGGGGGGUGGCGCUGGGGUCCUGGUUUUGGGGUCUUGGCAUUAGGGUUGUUGGUGUUGUGGUCGUGGCUUUGGGGUCGUGGCUUUGGGGUCGUGGCUUUGGGGUCAUGGCUUUGGGGUCCUGGUUUUGGGGUCCUGGUUUUGGGGUCCUGGUUUUGGGGUCCUAACUUUGGGGUCCUGGCUUUGGGGUCAUGCUGUGGGGUGGUGGCCUUGGGGUGCCCCCGGCGCUGAGCACCGUGUCCCGCUGUAGAUGGGUGCGCGAGUUCCUCAAUGACGAGAACAAGGGGCUGGACGUGCUGGUGAACUACCUGUCCUUCGCCCAGUGCGCCGUCAUGUGAGUGGGGGC